GAUUGAACGCUGGCGGCAGGCCUAACACAUGCAAGUCGAGCGGCAGCGGGAAAGUAGCUUGCUACUUUUGCCGGCGAGCGGCGGACGGGUGAGUAAUGCCUGGGAAAUUGCCCAGUCGAGGGGGAUAACAGUUGGAAACGACUGCUAAUACCGCAUACGCCCUACGGGGGAAAGCAGGGGACCUUCGGGCCUUGCGCGAUUGGAUAUGCCCAGGUGGGAUUAGCUAGUUGGUGAGGUAAUGGCUCACCAAGGCGACGAUCCCUAGCUGGUCUGAGAGGAUGAUCAGCCACACUGGAACUGAGACACGGUCCAGACUCCUACGGGAGGCAGCAGUGGGGAAUAUUGCACAAUGGGGGAAACCCUGAUGCAGCCAUGCCGCGUGUGUGAAGAAGGCCUUCGGGUUGUAAAGCACUUUCAGCGAGGAGGAAAGGUUGAUGCCUAAUACGUAUCAACUGUGACGUUACUCGCAGAAGAAGCACCGSCUAAC
rnacentral:rRNA from 1 species